CACAUGCAAGUCGAGGGGCAGCGGGAUGUAGCAAUACAUUGCCGGCGACCGGCGGAUGGGUGCGUAACGCGUAUGCAACCUACCUUAUACAGGGGAAUAACCUUUCGAAAGGGAGACUAACACCCCAUAGUAUUGAUUUAAGGCAUCUUAGAUUAAUUAAAUAUUUAUAGGUAUAAGAUGGGCAUGCGUAUGAUUAGCUAGUUGGUAAGGUAACGGCUUACCAAGGCGACGAUCAUUAGGGGUUCUGAGAGGAAGGUCCCCCACACUGGUACUGAGACACGGACCAGACUCCUACGGGAGGCAGCAGUGAGGAAUAUUGGUCAAUGGGCGCAAGCCUGAACCAGCCAUGCCGCGUGCAGGAAAAGACGGCCUUAUGGGUUGUAAACUGCUUUUACAUAAGACUAACCGUAUAUUUGCGAAUAUACCUGAAUGUAUUAUGAGAAUAAGGAUCGGCUAACUCCGUGCCAGCAGCCGC
rnacentral:rRNA from 1 species